CUCUGGAGCUCCAGCGGGAUCACUCUCACCUGAGGUGAAGGAGGAGGAGGUCAAGUCUUAAUGCACACAACAGAAUACAUGGAGCAUGUGUGUGGCUUCACUUUCAGUGGACAGUAGGUUUGUCUUUGUCUUCCAGGCAUCCUAAUUCUUCUGGCCCCAAACUGAAAAGCUCCUCUGCGAGGUGAUGAUGUCCUGGAAGCGGACGAAGAUCUGUCCUUUCAUGUCCAGUUCGUAGAUGGUGGAGUUGAUAGCAUAUCGACUGGGUUCAUUACCAUGGAGUCUGUGUCCGUUAGCAACGACAAGGAAGACUCUGCU